rnacentral:lncRNA from 1 species
CAGGCCUGGCUGCAGGCCCAGGGCGAGGAGUGGCUUCCAGGAAGCGGGCGGAGAAGCGUUCCAGCGGAGUCUCGCCGUGGCCGCGGCGGCCCCGAGCGCUCCGAGCCGCUCGGCUGCGGCCCGGUUGCUCGCUUGUGCCCGUGUUCUUAGCGUCCCGGAGUUCCGGCAGAGGACGCAAGGAGGGAGGAACGGACGGUCCCCCGGACGCGGCGCGCACUUGCGGGACGGGCGGCGCAGGUGGCGGCGCGCGCCCUCCGCCCCUGGGUCGGGGCCAGCGCUGCGCUCCGCGCGCCCGGAGGGGCGGGACAGGCGGGGCGGCCGCGUCCCAGCCCCAUUUAACUUUGGCGGCGGCGCGGGCUGGAGGCCGGCGUCGGGGACUGUCGGGAUCCCGCUCUCCGCACGAGGUGUCGCCGAGUAGGUGCUGCUCCUCACUGUCUUACAGCGCACAUCCCCGUUGCACUGACAGACGCUGCGGCGACGCCAGGUUGGGGACACCGGCGGAGGAUCCAGGGACCAGUCUCUCCGAGGAUGGCUGUGAGGGAGACUCCUAGAAUAUUGGACCCCAUGGCUUUCUGGACAGGAUCCUGGUGGCUGCUGACACGAAUGAUCUUUACAGUCUCUGGUCUCCUGCAGGCCACAGCAGAGAAGUCUCCUGGAGCCUACUUCCUUCCUGAGUUCGCACUCUCUCCUCAGGGAAGCUUUCUAGAAGAUACCACAGGGGAACAGUUCCUCACAUACCGCUAUGAUGAUCAGACCUCAAGAAAUGCUCACUCCGAUGAAGACAAAGAUGGCAACUGGGAUGCCUGGGGAGACUGGAGUGACUGCUCCCGGACCUGUGGGGGAGGAGCCUCCUAUUCUUUGCGAAGAUGUCUGACUGGAAGG